AUGGACGUUAAGACGACUUUCCUCAAUGGAGAGUUGAAGGAGGAAAUUUACAUGGAUCAGCCAGAUGGUUUUGUAGUACCUGGUCAGGAAGGAAAGGUGUGCAAGUUAUUAAAGUCUUUAUAUGGCCUUAAACAAGCUCCUAAGGUGUGGCAUGAGAAGUUCGAAAGAACGUUAACUGCUGCCGGCUUUGUAGUAAAUGAUGGUGACAAGUGUGUGUACUAUCGCCAUGGUGGGGGCGAAGGAGUUAUUCUUUGUCUGUAUGUCGACGACAUAUUGAUCUUUGGAACCAAACUUGAUUUAAUCAAGGAGGUUAAGGAUUUCUUAUCUCGCUGUUUUGAGGUGAAGGAUCUAGGAGUAGCUGAUGUUAUCUUAAACAUCAAGCUGUUGAGAGAUGAGAAUGGUGGGAUCACACUGCUUCAGUCUCACUAUGUGGAAAAGGUCUUGAGUCGUUUUGGGUAUAGCGACUGCACGCCUUCUCCAACUCCAUAUGAUGCUAGUGUGUUGCUUCGAAAGAAUCGACGGAUUGCUAGAGAUCAACUGAGGUAUUCUCAGAUUAUUGGCUCGCUUAUGUAUUUGGCGGGUGCCACGAGGCCUGACAUCUCGUUUGCUAUGAGCAAGCUGAGUUGGUUUGUGUCAAAACCGGGAGAUGAUCAUUGGCAUGCGCUUGAGAGAGUUAUGCGCUAUUUGAAAGGCACCGCGAGCUAUGGGAUUCACUACACCGGGUAUCCAAGGUUCUAA
rnacentral:rRNA from 1 species